rnacentral:lncRNA from 1 species
AUUGUGGGUCUCAGAUGACUUUGUGGUUCCGAGUUCAAGCUGAAGCUUUGAUCCUGUGCUCCGAGAGGCACAACCAACCAGUCUUGUCUGCAUCAUUUGCAUCAUAGCAUGUUUAUUUUCAAAACAAAAUAUGCAAUUAAAAAAAUUGAGAAAAGAAAUGAAAAAAGAAAAGAAAAGAAAAAAACUAAUCUCUGCAUGCAUAUCAUUUCUCAGGUUCAUU